rnacentral:rRNA from 1 species
GAUGAACGCUAGCGGCAGGCUUAAUACAUGCAAGUCGAGGGAGAUUUUAGCUUCGGCUAAAUGGAACCGGCGCACGGGUGCGUAACGCGUACACAACAUGCCUUAUACAGGAGUAUAGCCUCGGGAAACUGGGAGUAAUCCUCCAUAAUAUUAUCGGGUGGCAUCAUCUGAUAAUUAAAGCUCAGGCGGUAUAAGAUUGGUGUGCGUAUGAUUAGCUAGUUGGUAGGGUAACGGCCUACCAAGGCGACGAUCAUUAGCUGGCGUGAGAGCGCGACCAGCCACACUGGAACUGAGACACGGUCCAGACUCCUACGGGAGGCAGCAGUAGAGAAUAUUGGACAAUGGGCGAAAGCCUGAUCCAGCCAUGCCGCGUGAUGGAUGAAGGCCCUCUGGGUUGUAAACAUCUUUUAUCAGGGAAGAAACAUCCUGUUUCUACAGGACUUGACGGUACCUGAUGAAUAAGCACCGGCUAACUCCGUGCCAGCCGCCGCGGUAAUAC